AGGAUGAACGCUGGCGGCGUGCCUAAUACAUGCAAGUCGAGCGGCAGCGCAGGGUGCUUGCACCCUGGCGGCGAGCGGCGGACGGCUGAGUAACGCGUAGGAACGUACCCUAAAGUGAGGAAUAACUGCCCGAAAGGGUGGCUAAUGCCGCAUGUGCUCUUCGGAGUAAAGCUUCGGCGCUUUGGGAACGGCCUGCGUCCGAUUAGCUAGUUGGUAAGGUAAUGGCUUACCAAGGCUACGAUCGGUAGCUGGUCUGAGAGGAUGACCAGCCAGACUGGGACUGAGAACGGCCCAGACUCCUACGGGAGGCAGCAGUAGGGAAUUUUCCACAAUGGGCGAAAGCCUGAUGGAGCAACGCCGCGUGCAGGAUGAAGGCCUUCGGGUUGUAAACUGCUUUUCUUUGUGAGGAUUAUGACAGUAGCAGAGGAAUAAGGAUCGGCUAACUCCGCGCCAGCAGCCGC
rnacentral:rRNA from 1 species